GUCAACGGCCAUAUCACGAAAAACGCACCUGGUCCCGUCAGCUCCCAGCAGUUAAGAUUCGUCGACCCUGUGGUAACUUUUCUGGCACCUCUAGCC
rnacentral:rRNA from 1 species